UUUCGUCCUAGGAUGGAGGAAAUACCAAAACUGAGAAACAGAAAUUCAUCACUAUAAACCGCAAUUAGUUUGCUAAACUCAUUCUGAUUGACAUCCAGCUGGCUGGGUGACAAACACGUGGUACUCCUGACUUCCAGACUCUUGUUUGCAAAUGACUUUAGGUGAGUGCACCCAACUGAUGCUCAUUUUUCUUUGCUGCAUGAUAGCUUUUUGUUUUGCCUGGAUGGAGCACUGGAUUAGUGCAUAGCACAGCCCCUGCUCUUACUGCAGCCUGAAGAGCAGUUUGAGCUCUUACAUCUGCUCCUCCAGCUGAUAAUUCUGGCUAAUGCUUUCUUUUUCUGGCCCCAGAAGCUGCGACUUUGGAACAUGAGAGAAGGAGUUGAAAUGAACCCAAAGCUCUCCUGACUUUAACCCCACCAUGUCUGCGUGCCCAGAGAGCUGUGAGCACGGCUGCAUGGUGCUGCAGAGCUGCCUGUCCCUGGGAGCAGCCAGGGAGGUGCUGGGGUAUGAAUGGAGCAUGGAGGGGCAAUGGCUGCACUGUCUGGUAUGGAGACAUCAGUGAAACAUGCAGGGGAGGAGAGAGGAGGAGGAGGCACUGCUGUGAGAAGCGGGAGCAGAGAGAAGUGUAACAGGAGGAGAAGGAAAAGUUGCCAGAGAGGGAACGUGGAUCUUUCUGAGCUGCUGAGGAACUUCAGGAGAUGCAAAAGGAGCCAGAAAAUGUGUGGAGAGGGAUUUGGUCUCCUGUUAAGACAGACCUCUUUCGCAGCACUCAUCAGUGAGUGAUUUGCUCUCAGGGCAGAAAGCACGGCUCAGAUGCGAUGCAAUAACGCAGCUCUGCCUUCACACAGCCCUGAGAUCCCUUGGCUGACAGCAAAAGCAGAAAAAGACGUUUCUAAAAGUGGUUUGAUGCGAGCAGAGCACUCAUGCAGGCAGCAAGAAGGACAAGCAGAAGAUACAAGUGUGGAAUCAUCAAAGUUAGACAAGACCUCUCAGAUCCCCAAGUCCAACCCCAGCCCACCCCCACCGUGCCCACUGACCGUGUCCCUCAGAGCCACAGCUCCACGUUCUGAGCACCUCCCCCACCCCCUGGGCAUCCCUGUGCCACUGCCUCACUGCUCUGUUGGAGAAGAAAUGUUUCCUGAUUUUUCCACGCAAAGAGAUGCAUAGCAAGGAGAGCCAGGUUUUGCCAGUCCCUGGAGUGCUGUGACAGACAUUGCUCUGGAAGAAAAGAGAAAACAUUGGCUGGAUGACCAUUUUUUGUGGCCUACUGUUACCCCUUGUGAGAGACAAAGCAGGGUCCCUGGGCUGGGGGGGACCUGCGCAGCACCAGGAGCAGGCAAGAGGUGCAAGCAAAGAGGGAUGCAGGGGAUGGAAGAUGACAGAGGAAGCGGCUGCUUCUCAGAUCCUUGUCAAAGUCGAUGAUAUUGGCUGCUCUCCAUAGUGAGACCACUGUCAGACUCAGCUCAAAGCAGAAAACUCCUUGGUCUUACCGGAAAUGUGGGCAGCAGAAGAGUUAAGAAAUAAACCAAACCUGGCACCACCUGAAGUGACCUUGCAGAGGAGCAGUAGCAAGAUGGAUCCUUUGGCUUUCCACAUUUCCUCCUGCAGCUUUAACAUCUCUUCUUGUUUCUAAAAUCCUUCUGCUUCUUCUAGUGGGAGUCCGGAAAUCCGCGAUUAUAAUUCUUACAGCUCAAACAAUUCAGAUCCUUUGUCUCUGGUUCUUUGUUCUCUGUUUUCUGAUUUUUAUCAUCGAAGUAGCGUGCUGGGUUUCAGUUCCCACACUGUAAAUCAAGCUCUGCAGAAGCAGUCUAGCUCUGCAUCCCCACCUCCAGCGAGAGCUCCCUGAGCCCAGGCUCUGCCGAGGUCACUUUUUGCACAUAGGCACCUUGAGGAUGGGCACGCAGGGCCUUUACCAGUGCUGUGUCAAGGUGUUCCAGUGUGGUGGAGAUGUGGCACCUGGGGGCAUGGUCAGUGGGCACGAUGGGAAUGGGUUGGGCCUGAGGAUCUCGGAGGUCUUUUGCAACUGGAGUGGUUCUGUGACUCUCUGUUUCCAGAAGAGCAAAAUGAAGACAGAUUUUCCUCCGGCUGCAAGAGAAUAGUGAAAGAGGACUCUUCUGUAUAUGGGCUGAGCUUUCGCGUGGUUGCGUGAUAAUGUGCUGCAAUCAGAGCUCUUCUGCUGUAAAGCUGCCUUACCUCCAGGCAUCCUUUAAGCAGCCAGCAGUAUUCGUCUGUGCUUGAUUCAGGAGUUCUGGCCUGGCAUCAGUGAGUGACAUCAGUCCCACCCAACUUGUUGCACCAUCUGUUUUUGUGUUUUAACAGGCUUCGGGACGAAUGUUGGAAGGUGAGCUUCAGGUGUCAUCUGUAAUAAUGUUACAGUCACACAGUAAUGGUUGGUGGAAAGGUUUUGUUUUUUUAAAUAGGACUGUAUGGUUUCUGCAAACAUUGUGCUUGCUUCACUCGUAUUUCAUAGUUCUAUGCAGAAAACUAGAACGAAUCAUAAAAUAUGGGGGAAAAAUAACAGCUCUCCAUCCUUGACUCAAUCGUAGCCAUCUUGCAUCAUUAUAGUUGUGCAUGAAAGCUGUUGUUCGAAUGCUUCAUGACCUCUCCAUGGAUCAAGCUUCCCAGCACUUCCCAGCUGUUACAUCUCCAGGAUGCAGUCACCCCCUCGGUGCUGAGUCACCCAGCUUUACUGCGGGAGUCACCUCCCUGUGUCAGAAUGCUUCGAAAGUGUUUGGCUCUCCUGCAGCUGCUAUAUCUGUCAGGAUGACUAACGAAGCAGACAAGUGACUUGUGGGACAGGUCAGUGCUUUGUAAAUUUUCUCUUGUUUUGUGCCUACAAGCUCCUGCUGAAGUUUAUAAUUCAUCAAUCCCAACGCAUUAGCCACCUUCACACUAGCAGUGACAACGUCUGGUUUUGUUCUGGUUUAUCUCAGCCCGAGACAGGAAUCCCCUUGCUGUGCUCUCGGGACCUAUGAAGUCACCCUCAGCUCCCAGCCACCCUUCUGAUCCUUUAUGUGUCACUUACAGUGCAUCUGUUACCAUCUUCACAAAGGGCUGCUGAUUUCUUGAACUUACAAUCUCAGAACCAUUCUGGUUGGAAAAGAUCUCUUGGAUCCACAUCCCCCAGUGCCACAUCCCCCUGUUUGGGAGCACCUGCAGGACAGUGACUGCCCCUCCCUGGCAUUCUGCCCAUUCUGACUGCUCUCUGGAAAGUUCUGAUAUCCAACCUGGAUCCCCCUGCACAAAAAACGUAAUUUUGCUCAGUUAAUAAUUGACAUGUUUUAUUUCAUUGUGCUUUAUGGCUUCCCAAAGAUAUACAUAUGUCAAGUAGCUCUGACUUAAUACUUACUAAUGACCAGAAUGGGCAGCUAUUAAUGGCUGGGCUGACAGGGACUGGGCUGGGCAGCUACUGGUGCUACUUCAUGCCUCGAAAGCCAGAUGUGAUUUCACACAUAUGCAGAAACCCAUUACAUUUUAUUUGGGAACGAAUGAACGCUUCUAUACAAUAGCAAAUGUACCAUUUUCCUCUUACACUUUUAAGGGGUUACUUAUGGAAAGGCUCGCCUCUUGAGGGAAGGUAAGCCUCCAGAGUGGAAUGCAAUGGAUAAUCCGUUCCGUGAGAGUCCCCUGAGCAAGAUGGCCUGCAACCUUAGCUGUCAGCAAAUGCCUGGGAGCCUGGAAUGCUGACUCUAAAGAAAAUACACACAGGAUGAGGAAUGGGGUGGAGGUCCCAUGGCCAAACCCUGUGACCAUUCUGCAGGGACAGGGACUGAUGCUGUUAUUGGCAAUGAUAAAUCAUUUUGUUUUCCUGAGCCAGCAAUUUUCCACC